rnacentral:rRNA from 1 species
GAUCCUGGCUCAGGACGAACGCUGGCGGCGUGCUUAACACAUGCAAGUCGAACUAAGAGCGAUGGAAGCUUGCUUCUAUCAAUCUUAGUGGCGAACGGGUGGGUAACGCGUAAUCAACCUGCCCUUCAGAGGGGGACAACAGUUGGAAACGACUGCUAAUACCGCAUACGAUCCAAUCUCGGCAUCGAGACUGGAUGAAAGGUGGCCUCUAUUUAUAAGCUAUCACUGAAGGAGGGG